rnacentral:rRNA from 1 species
UGGGGAAUAUUGCACAAUGGGCGCAAGCCUGAUGCAGCCAUGCCGCGUGUGUGAAGAAGGCCUUCGGGUUGUAAAGCACUUUCAGCGGGGAGGAAGGCGUUAAGGUUAAUAACCUUGGCGAUUGACGUUACCCGCAGAAGAAGCACCGGCUAACUCCGUGCCAGCAGCCGCGGUAAUACGGAGGGUGCAAGCGUUAAUCGGAAUUACUGGGCGUAAAGCGCACGCAGGCGGUCUGUCAAGUCGGAUGUGAAAUCCCCGGGCUCAACCUGGGAACUGCAUUCGAAACUGGCAGGCUAGAGUCUUGUAGGGGGGGGUAGAAUUCCAGGUGUAGCGGUGAAAUGCGUAGAGAUCUGGAGGAAUACCGGUGGCGAAGGCGGCCCCCUGGACAAAGACUGACGCUCAGGUGCGAAAGCGUGGGGAGCAAACAGG